rnacentral:miRNA from 12 species
GACAGGAUGAUCUCUUGAGCUCCCUUCCAUCCAAACCAUUCUGUGAUUUUGUGAAAUUAGAAGAAGUACAUUGUAGUUUUUGAUGCAUUGUUGAACAUUCCCCAACUAAGCAGUUGUGGAAAGUGUGGAAAGGGGCUGGGUGGUGUAGCCCCUUGCUCACAGCCCUCUACUCUGGCAUGCUGGGAGCCUAUCUGCUCUCU